UACGUAGGGUGCGAGCGUUGUCCGGAAUUAUUGGGCGUAAAGGGCUCGUAGGCGGUCUGUUGCGUCAGGAGUGAAAACUCGGGGCUUAACCCCGAGCCUGCUUCUGAUACGGGCAGACUAGAGGUAUGCAGGGGAGAACGGAAUUCCUGGUGUAGCGGUGAAAUGCGCAGAUAUCAGGAGGAACACCGGUGGCGAAGGCGGUUCUCUGGGCAUUACCUGACGCUCAGGUGCGAAAGCUAGGGGAGCGAACAGG
rnacentral:rRNA from 1 species